rnacentral:lncRNA from 1 species
CAGCAUUCUUGGUAUUGUCACAGUACUUAUGACAGGUAUAGAUUCCCAGAAAGUUCUGUGCUUCUUGGGGAUCACAGCCCCAUUUGGUUUCAUGGCUCAGGAAGUGCUGUGCAGUAGCUCUUGGCCUCUGCCCAGCUGCACAGCCUGAGGACUGCUUCUAUCAGACUUCCUACUCUACUAAAGCACAUCAUCUCUUUGAAUGUGCUGUGCAGAAGACUGUGCUUCUCCUGCCAGACAGGAAUGUGAACACGUAUGUCUUGAUCAUGUAACGGAAAGAAUGCUUCUCGUUCUGGCAGCUGCGAGCUCCCCUUAGACAACAGUCCCUGCCUGAUUUGAAAGCAUCAUUCUUUCUGUGAGCAGAAUAACUGCACGGUAAUAAUGGACAUAUUUUGCAGUACUCAGAUGUAGGAUUUUUGGAAUGCGUGCAUCCAGAAGUGCCUGCUG